CUUUGGAAUUAGCAUUUGUUUUCAGCAAACGAGGAGCGUGGAGUUGUGAGCGAUUGAGUGCUAUUCUGAUUAGAAAUUCACAGUGGAUACUUUGGAGUGUGGCUGCGCUUUUUCCUCCAUUUCCGGUACUUACUCUUUCUGCCAGCCGCGGGUGGUCGUGGUCCCUCUUUGUUGUCCUCUCUUAACUGGGUGACACUUAACGAAGUGUGAAUAUCUGGAUGGAGUGAUAAUCCCCGACGAACCGUUAAAGUCAAGCGAACAAACAACAGUGACUGAGAGAGAGUGGCUCGAUCAAUUCAAUGGCAGCAGAAACUUCUCUCGCAGCUGGCGCAGGCAGAAGCAGUGACUCCGACUGCGACUGCGACGGCGACGUCAGCCGGAAGCAGGGGAGUCAGAAGCAGAAGCAGAAGCCGAACCCGGAGCAGGGAAUGAAGCAAAGAAAUGCGGGCGGGCAAAGACAUUACACACACAUGCACACACAGUCACCGCCAUCAUCAUCAUCAUCAUCAGCUACCGAUAAAGGCGGGCUCCUGCCUGGCUCUCCUCCUCAUCUUCAGCUCCAUGCCUUAGUCAAUAACAAACUAAUGAGCCUUGGCGGCGUCGAUGCGUAUGCUUUAUUGCUUUAUUUUGCUGCCAUUCACACAAUGACCCCACAUGCAACAGCAACAGAAACAGAAGCAGAAGCAGCGGGGGGAAUAAACAAUAUGCACACAUAAUGCACAAACACAUGCACGGGGGGACAAAGAAAGAAAGAAUGAAAGAAGGCGUGAAGAAUCACCGAAAUAUUUAGCCCCGCUUUUAUGGUGUAAUAUUGAACGGAUUUCUUGUAUUGUUAUUUAAUUAUCGCCCUUGGAUGGGAAAGUAAUUGUGCACCAAAGACUCUGCCAUAUAUAGCGGUACUUGUAAUGCCACCACUACUCCACUUCAAUCUACGCCACUCCAAUUCAAGAUAAAUCGCUGCUGUGGUCCCGAGGUUAAUGGAACUCUGCUCCUUCUAAUAGAUGCAGUUCUCAUAAAAAAAAUGGAUUCAACUUGCCCUUCAGUUGGAAAAUACUUCCACGGAUUUAUAGGCAGUUAAUUUCUAUAAUUAA